rnacentral:rRNA from 1 species
UAACCUGCCCAAGAGACUGGGAUAACACCUGGAAACAGAUGCUAAUACCGGAUAACAACACUGGACGCAUGUCUAGAGUUUAAAAGAUGGUUCUGCUAUCACUCUUGGAUGGACCUGCGGUGCAUUAGCUAGUUGGUAAGGUAACGGCUUACCAAGGCAAUGAUGCAUAGCCGAGUUGAGAGACUGAUCGGCCACAUUGGGACUGAGACACGGCCCAAACUCCUACGGGAGGCAGCAG